rnacentral:lncRNA from 1 species
GGCCCUCAUCUGAUCCAAGGAAUUGGUGCUGGUAUCAUCCCUGAUGUUUUGGAUGUUGGCCUCCUUGAUGAAGUUGUCCAGGUAAGUCUCAAUAGCAUCACAUUCGAAUUCAUUUGUCGAAGUUUCUGAAUGUUUUAUGUUUCAUUUAUAUUAUCUAAUCACAUAAUAUUUUAUUUUAUUUUAUCUUAUCUAAUCACUUAAUUAAUAUUUAUAAUAAAUUAAUCUUUAUUUAAAUAGUACAAUUAGUGUAAACUUGACAUUAGAAACUAAUUGUUUAUAAAUUAUUCAUUAAGAAACGCAACUCAUAACUAUUCUUUGUAAUCUACUUAAAUAAAAACAAUUAAAUAACAAAAUAUAAUAAUUGUAAUUGUUAAAAUAUACUAUUAGUCCUUUUACUUUUUAUAAAUUUAAAAUUUAAUUAUUAUACUUUUACUUUUAAAAAUUUAAUCUUUUUAUUUUUCAGAUUUUAAAAUGUAGAUUCAAUUUUAGUAUGGUUAAAUUUAUUCAUUAAAUUUGUUGGUGUAACAUUUUGAAAUAAAAAAAAAAUUGUAUUCAUUAAAUAAUUUAAAAAAAUUAACGUUGUAAAAAAACUACAUUUAACAAAAUAAUUUUAAAAGUAUUAAUAAUUAGACUUAAUUUUAAAAUUUAAAGAAUAAAGUAAUUAAAAUUUUUAAAAUAAAAAUAUAAAAAUUAAAUUCUAAAUUUACCAAAAAUAUGGAAUAUUUUAACAUAAUAUAAUAUACAUUUACAGUCUGCUAAGCUUGACUUUAGAAUUUGACCAUAGUAAAGUAAAGCAAGAAUAUAAGCAAAAGUUGCUUACUUAAGUGUGAUGGGAGUUGGUGUAAUAUCAAUGCAUAAUUGUUCUUGUUCCUUGUUGAAACAUCCAAAGGCUUAACCGCUGUUUUACUUGUUUUUACGGGGAAUAUAGCCUUAUUAUUAUUAUUAUUAUUGAAAUGGGCCAAGUAAAAAAUUAAUUACCGGAAUGAUUAUUUCCCCGAAACCGUAUUCACGUCAACGCAUUGUUAGGUGGCGAAGUAGAAAAACGCUUCCUUAAGGAAGCGUUUUGCUCGUGCCUCCUGCUAGGAUUAGGGUUUAGGGUUUAGGGUUAAGGUUUUGGGGGUUUUAGGUUUAGAUUUUUAAAGAAAAAAAUUAAAUAAAUAAGGGAUUAGGGUUCAGAGUUUCUUAAUUAAAUUAAUUAUAAAUUUUUCAAAAUUAGAUGUUUUGUGUUUAUGGUUUUUUUUUAAAAUCAAUUAAAUUAGGGUUUAGAGUUACUUGAGUAAAUUAAUUAAAAAAAUUUAAAAAAUUAGAUUAGGGUUUAGUGUUAAGAGUUUUUAAGGAAAAAUUAAAUAAAUUAAGGUUUAGGGUUACUUGAGUAAAUUAAUUAUAAAUUUUAAAAAAAUAGAUUAGGGUUUAAUGUUUAGGGUUUUUAAGGAAAAACUCAAAUAAAUUAGGGUGUGGGGUUUAGAGUUACUUAAUUAAAUUAUUUGUUAAUUUAAAAAAGCUCUCAUGUAGACGCUCUUUUGCUACAAUAGCUCCUUAAAAAAUAAUUUCGAGAAGACGUUUCUGAGCAAAUAGUGUCAAAAACGCUUUAAGCAGUAUGCAUUGUCAGCAAAAGUACUGAAAGAAGCUCCCACGUGGACGCGCUUUUGCUACAGUAGCUCCUGAAAAAAUAAUUUCGAGUAGACGUUUCUAAGCAAAUAGUGUUAAAAACGCUUUAAGUAUGAUGCAUUGUCAGCAAAAGUACUGAAAGAAGCUCCCACGUGGACGCGCUUUUGCUACAGUAGCUCUUGAAAAAAAAAUUUUGAGUAGACGUUUCUGAGCAAAUAGUGUCAAAAACGCUUUAAGCAGGAUACUUUGUCAGCAAAAGUAUUGAAAGAAUCUCUCAUGCGGACGCGCUUUUGCUACAGUAGCUUCUGUUUGGCCUGAGGCUAUAAAUGAGGCAAAAUUUUUUCUCAGAUUGCAUAAGUUACAGGAAAAAAUUUUAGAGAGGCUAAGAAUGAUAGAAAUUGAAGAUGAGUGAACGUAUUAGUGCUGUUAUUUACUAUGAUAGUGAGGUUCGUCACACCGAGAAUGGUGUUAUUUUUUUAUCGGAGAAUACAGUGAGACUGGUCUUUAACCAGAACAUAGAUUUGACAGAACUUCGUAAAAGAAUUAGGCGUAAAAUAUUCGGAACGACGCCAAUAAAAGUUCUGUCUAUUACGUAUCGGUUUUGUUCUUAUGUUGAUCUAGUGACAUACGACUCGUUCGACAUAAAAAGUGAUCGUAGCUUGGAGGUAAUGGUGCAGACUCAUCUCGCUAGUGGAACACCCUAUAUUGAGUUAUAUGUACAAUUUACAUCGCCAAAUGAUGCACUUGCGACUGCUGUUCGAGAGGUAUACACGACCCCUGCUCGACAGUCGGUUAGUGGGUUACAAAAUACGGAACAACCCAUGUUUGGUAGCGGUAUGAAAUACGUAACCCUUGCACGACACUUUGUCAGUGGAUGGGACAUGCACCUCGGUGGGUCAAUGUUUGAUGUUGGAAAUACGUACUGGGGAACGGUAUCAACUUCUAGUGGUUGGCAAUUUACAUUCAAUUGGGGACGUUAUGAAACGCCCAGAAGAAGGGAUGAUGUAUUCCCAAUGAAAUCCACUGGUGAGGGGACCUCGUACGUUGCAGAUGAUGGUGGGUUAUAAGAUGACUCCGAUGUGAAUCCACCUCGAGAGCCAGGUCCCGAUGGUGCAGAAGUUGCAUUAUUUUCAGAACCGGAGCCUAUUUCAAUCGAACCUGAAGAUGUUGAAGGAGGUUUAGAUGAAGAAGAAGAUCCACGAUUCAGGGCAUACUCACCUCUAGCCUACAUGCAUAAUGUCGAUCUAUCUGCAGAUGAUGUGUUAGAGUUUCCAGAUCUACCACACAGGUUACGUGAUCGUACAAGUUCGCUACUGGAUUCAGGUGAAUUUGAAGUUGGUAAUAAGUUUUUCAACAAGAAUAGUUUUAUUGGUGCAUUGAAACAACAUAGCAUCAAUAACGGCGUUAACUACCUCGUGGUUAAAUCUAAAGCUGAUAAGUUUGAUGCGAAGUGUGCAGUGCAAGACGGUACAUGUUCAUGGAAAAUCUACGCCUCGUUGAGGAAAAUGACAAGGUUGUGGGAGAUAAAAAAGUACACAGGUCCACAUAUAUGUGAUGAAUGUAUAGUAUUUAGGGUUUCUUAAUAAUACUGUUAUUAUUUAAUGUACUCCGUUGAUAGGUAUUUCACAAGAUCAUCCAAGAUGGAUUCAGCUAUGUUAGCUAGCUUGAUACUACUCACGGUAAAGGUAGAUCCCAAGACUUCAGUGCAGGUCUUAAUUGCCAAUAUUCGUAGCCAAAUGGGAUACACGCCCUCUUACCGCAAGGCUUGGAUAGUUAAACAGAAGGCGUUGGAAAAGUUGUAUAGUGGGUGAGACGCUUCAUAUAAUGAAAUAUGGCUGUGGUGUCAAGUGCUAGAGAGAUACGUCCCAAGUUGCAUAACAGACCUUGAAACGGAACAUGCGUAUUACAACGGCCGGUUGCUACGUGGAUGCCAAGUGUUCAAACGCCUGUUUUGGACCUUUAAGCAAUACCGAGAUGCAUUUUCAUACUGCAAGCUAUUGGUACAAAUUGACGGUACAUUUAUGUUUGGUAGAUAUACCCAUCAGCUAUUGUUAGCAGUGGCAUAGGAUGGCAGUGAGAGAAUUCUUCCAAUUGCGUUUGCAAUAACACCGGGGGAGUCAGCUGAUGACUGAGAUUUCUUUUUAUCUAGGUUAAUGAGGCAUGUGUGCCCCCAACCUGAUAUCUGUGUUAUUUUAGAUCGGGGCACCAGAAUACUAGUUGCAAUUGAUCAACAGGGAAGCUUACGGCAGUGCAUUCACCAUCAGUAUUGCCUAAAGCACGUUGCUUCCAACUACUACAAGUAAUAUCCAUCUAAGAGUGAAUGACGACAAGUGACCAACAUGGGCAUUUAGUCUCUAUUAGUAUAAUUUCGUUUGUCAUUUUGAAUUUAUUCUAAAUGAAAGAGCGGUAUGUAAUAUUCGCUAUGAACUUAUAUUAGCAGGGUAUGAAAUAAAUAAAGACUGUUUUCAUGAGAUGUUGGCAGUUUUACGUUCAAUUAACGGCUAAGGUACAGACUACCUUUGUAACAUACAUUUCGAACAGUGGGUACAAGCAUACGACGGUGGCCUACAAUAUGGUCAUAUGACCUCAAACCUGGCUGAAUGCAUAAAUUCUGUUCUAAAAGGAACGCGCCAUCUACCGAUGACAUCGGUUGUGCGAGAGAUAUUUUCGUUUAGCGGCGCUAUUUCCAAAGCGAGCAGCGAGUUAUGCAGGCCAGAUGUAGGGAGGCCAUGUAUGGUGCAGUAAGGUAGUGCAAGAAAUUAAUAAGGCCAAGGCACGGGCGAACAUCAUGCACACAGUGUGUCAUGAUUGAGACAACUUAUGGUUUUGCAUGACAGAGAUUGACAGACCGCACUAAGGUGUUAUUGGUAGGCAAUAUCGUAUACACUUGCGAAAUAAGACUUGCGACUGUGGGAUAUUUGACGCACUUCGUUAUCCAUGCGUUCAUGUAAUUGCAGUUUGUCAGAAUCUCCGUCUAGAUUCGAUGAGCUAUGUUGACGAAGUUUACAAAUUAGAAAACAUGUACAACAUCUAGAGACAUAUUCCCACCGGUCCCAGAUGAACGUAAGUGGUCAUCUGUAUCGCUUGCUCCCUUUAAGCUGUUACCAGAUAGAAAAUUGCGUCGCAAACCAAAGGGUCAACCUUGCUCGACUAGAAUACGUAACAAUAUGGAUAUCCGAGAAACAACCAGUCAACAGAAGUUGUGCGAAUGGUGUAGGAACCCGGGCCAUACAAGCCGAUCAUGCCCAAAUCGCAAUAGUUGAACGUUAUUGUAAAAAACUUUGUAUUAUUUAUAUUUUUAAAUCAAAUAGUAUAAAAAUAUUCAGAAUACUAACUUAUUUAAAAGAAAAUCUAUUUUAUUAAAAAUAUUUAAGUAAAUUACAAUUACUUUAUUCAAAACAACUUAUUUUAUUAAAUGAAAUAAUAUAGAAAUAUUUAAAAUAUUGUGUUAUUUAAAAAAAUUUCUAUUAUAUUAAAAUGUAAAAGUAAAUUUCUAUUUUAUUACAUGAAAUAAUAUAGAAGAAUUUCUAUUUUAUUACGUCAAAUAAUAUCAAAAUGUUUGUACAAAUAUAUUAAAAUAAAAAACAAUCUCCGUGCCAACUGGAUUCAGUGCCACAUGGCGGCCGUCGACAGUUAAACGCUGGAUUCCUCCUUUGUCCAGCUUCUGGCGGGGGUUGUGGUUACUCCAUAGGGGAUUUUGGUUCCUCUAGUAGGGGAUCUGGUUAUCGGUGUUGGGACGAUGAGCCACAUUGAUAGAAUAGUGACUGUGGAGGUGUUUGCAUCACCAACGACGAAGCUGCUUGAAACUCAUACGGUGAUGGGGAUUGGUAAAAAGAAGAGCUCCUCGAUGGCCCCUCCUGUGAUCCCUCGUGCGACGGUGGCCUAUAUAUUGGUGGUCCACUCGGCAUAAUCCAAAUGGAGAUGAACAGGGUCAUGGACUCCAACCUACGAUAUGACUAGAAACAGGAAACAUAUAAGGGUUUGGAUACAUAAAAGGGUUAGGAUGCGCACUUGGUAUCAUCUGAAAAGGCUGUGCUGUGGGUGUCAUCGGUUGAAGUGUUGGGCCUGGUGACUGUGUGAGUGUUGUUGCUGGGCCUGGUGAUGGGCCGGGUGAUUGUGAUGGGCUUGCGUCGUCGUCCCUUCUUCUUAGAUUUAAAGGGUCACGUCGUUCCCUUUGGAUACACAAUUGUCGCUGUCUCUCCUCUGCCGAUAGUAAAUAUGGCUUACCAUGGAUCCUAAACCAUGGCAUGUAUUUUGGCACGCACGUUAACUCUGAAACGAUAAUCGGUUCUUGAGUAGGUAUAUAAUCAUACUGAUCUUCCCACAUUUGGAUGUAGUGUGACCAGAAUCUCGGCCAAUCCAUAUGCAAUUGUCGUAGGUCGAUUUUGUGAUGAUCAUCCAACACCUCAGGUACUACAGGAAUCGGUUGUCGAAAUCCAAAUUACCGUAAUACUUUGUUUGACUGGUGCAUCUCCACGGUCGUAAAGUUGACCAAUGAGACUUUCACAUGCCAAGUGUUUGGAUUUUGGAAGUACUCAUCCGAAAUUACUGCCCGAAUUACCGGAUCCUCGUAUGGUGUCCAUUGAAACUAUAUGAACAUGAUAAAAAUAUUAGUUACAUACAUAAUACAUAAUACUAAAUACUAAAUACUAAAUACAAAUCGACUAUCUCAUGAUGGAAAUAUUUAUUUUAUUUAAUACUUACUUGUGCUUCCGACCGUUGGUCUAAUAAAAGCCGUAUAUCUUCAAGAGAGGUAGGUAAUCAAGCAUAACUUGCCGAAUGGUUCCACCCGAUUAAAUAAAUUUUUAGCAUACAAUUAUAUUUUAAAUCUACGUAAUAAUUGUAAAAUCUAAUAUAAAAUUUACCUCGUUAUGAGUGAGAAUGUAUACGGAUGGUCCACUCGAGGGCGUAAAAAUAGAAAGUGAAACCGUACCCAUGACUGCAAUAGUGAUAGGCUACCUUCGAUUUUUGUUUUAUUCGGUUGCGUCGCCCCGCACAUCUCUCGGUACAAUGUUGCCAACAAGGCAGACCCUCAACUAAAUUCACCAGCUGCUCUAAAAUCAACGAGUUUCAGCAGCCAUCUCAGAUGUACUAGGUUCCGUGACAAGUCUGGCAUCAGAUAACCUCUAAUUAUUUGAAGAAUGUAUGCCCGAGCUUAUCGAAUUCUUUCUAGUUCGGUAGAACCAUCAUUCGCUUUGGGAAUGUGUCUCGUAACCAACCCAUCUCGAUCUGACCUCCGUUAAUAUUAUCCAGAAUAGCGUUUAAAAGCUCAUAGCAUACCGCUUCCCAAUCACCAGAUUGAACAGACCCGGUGACUGCGUACCCGUCCACCGGCAAUCUCAGUUGCAAAUUUACGUCUUCCAAAGUGAUAGUACACUCUCCACAUGGAAGAUGGAAUGUGUGCAUCUCGGGUCUCCACCUCUCAAUCAAUGCACUGAUGAGUUUCGGGUCCAACUUGCAUCCUCGGCCUACCGUCGCCACGUGCCAAAAACUCGUUUCCCGCAGUUCUCUACCAACGGUGAUGGAGGACCAUGCAUAUUACGAAUAUAGCAUUGCAAUAUCCGAUCUAUAGUCUUUUAUAAGAAAUAAUAAAAUAAAAAUUAUUUAAAAUUGCAUAAAUCAAAAAAAUCUUAAAUAAUAUUUAAAUAUUAAAUUUAACACUUACCAUUUUCAUUUGUUCGAUGGAUAUGUGCUUGUUAUUGAGACAAAUUAAUUCUUCUGCCAUUGCUAACACGAUCAAAUUUUUAUGAUUUAAAAAAAAUUCAAAAAAAUAAAAUUAAAGCUUUUUUAAAAAUAAUUAAAAAAAUUAAAACUUUUUUUAAGAGAAAUUUGAGAGAAUAUUGGAGAGAAAUUAAGAGAAAGGAUUUAGGUGUGAAAAAAAUGAAAGGGGGGUUUAUAGUUUUUUUACCGUUGGGGGUCACCAACAGUCAAAAAAGUAGCCGUUGCUACUGUUUACACGCGGGCAAAACGCAUUUUCCUGCCUCGUCACUUGACAACACGCUAACGUAGAUACGUUUUCGGGGAAUUAGUAAUUUUACUCUUUACAAAUUUAAAAUUUAAUUAUUGUAUUUUUAACUUUAGGAAUUUAAUCCUUUUAUUUUUCAGAUUUUAAAAUGUAAUUGCAAUUGUUAAUAUGAUUAAAAUUUAUUUAUUAAAGUUGUCAAUGUGAUAUUUUGAAAUAAAAAAUUAAACUUACAGGAUAAUAAAAAAUAAUACUGUAAUGAAUUUAAAUUUAAUAAAAUAACUUUAAAAAUAUUAAUAAUUUAAUCUAAUUUUAACAUCUGAAAAAUAAAAUUUUUUUACUCAAUUCUAUGAAAAGGGUUGCAGUCUGCUAAGCUUAACUUUGAGAAUUUGACCACAGUAAAGUAAAGCAAGGAUAUAAGCAAAAGUUGCUUAAUUUCAAGGCAAAGUGUGAUGGGAGUUGUCUAAUAUCAAUGCAUAAUUGGUCUUCUUGUUCCUUGUUGAAACAUCCAAAGGCUUAACCGCUGUUUUCCUUGUUUUUAUUAUAUACUAUUUACUUUUAUUAAAAAGUUGUCUUUUUCUUUAUUAUUGAAAUAUCCAAAGUUUCCCUCUUCUCCGCCCACCAUUAAUUUUGAUAUUUGAUUCUUUGACAUUUUUGGGUGUUUUUUAUUUUCUGUUUUCAGUUAACCAUUUGAUUGAAGAACUUGGGAAACAAGUAUUUCUUGCCUAUUCCUCUGUUAUCUCAUCUGGUUGUUUAUGCCCUUUAUAAAGAGUUUCAGAAGCUUGGAUUUUGCACUAAGAACCACUUGUUGUUUUCCUUUUGUUAAAUUGCAGGGUCUUUUUGAUUAAAUUGAGGAAAUUCAGUGGGAACCGGUCAUGGAGGGCAAAUGUGCAAUCAAGAAAGAUGUUACUGAAGUAAUGUUUCUUCUUCUCAGUCAUUUAAUACUGUUGGUGUUUUAAGCCAUUAAUGUACAUCAAACUUGUUUUUAAUCUCCUUGUGGGUUUAUGCAGUUAAUAGGUAAUACCCCUAUGGUAUAUCUGAACCAUAUCGUCGAUGGCUGCGGUGCUCGAAUUGCUGCCAAGCUCGAGCUGAUGGAACCUUGCUCCAGUGUUAAAGACAGGCAUAUGCUCUUUUUUUUUCAUUUGCAUUUUUUAUUUUGUACAUUGUUCACAGCAUCUUGGAAAAGUGUUGCCUGCAAAUCAACACCUUUGGUCAUUGUUUUAUCUAUGUGCAGGAUUGCAUACAGUAUGAUUAAAGAUGCAGAAGAUAAGGGCUUGAUUACACCAGGGAAGGUAUGGUUCCAUCUUUCGGAUUAAUGCAUAUCAAGUGAUUGUUUGAUAACCUAACCAGGAAGAAAUAUAGAUCCUAUGAUCUAAUAUAGUAUGGUCUAUUUUUCUGUUUUGCUUGGUAUGGUACCUUAUUCGGUUUAGCUUUCGGGUUAAUGCGUAUGAAGUGAUGAUAACCUAACCGGGGAGGAAGUAUAGAUCUGCGAACACUUAAAUUUUAGAUUGUUUCGUAAGAUUUUGUUAUCAUGAUAUCUUCUGCAGUUUUGCUUCAGUUGACUUUUGAUCCAAUGAGGGGUAUUUAAGCUAACAAAUUUCUCAUUUGUUCUGCUUAUGUUGAAAUAAUAUUGGUUAAAGAGUAUCCUUAUCGAGCCUACCAGUGGUAAUACCGGCAUUGGAUUGGCUUUCAUUGGAGCAGCUAGGGGUUAUAGAGUUAUUGUCACUAUGCCAGCUUCUGUGAGCAUUGAGAGGAGAAUCGUUCUUCGAGCUUUUGGAGCUGAAGUAUGCCUCACAAACCCAGCCAAGGGCUUUAAGGGGGUAUUAGACAAGGCUGACGAGAUACUGAAGAACACACCUAACAGUUACAUGCUACGGCAAUUCGCAAACCCUGCCAAUCCUCAGGUAGCAUCUUUACUGUUGUAACAUUUCUAUUGUUUCAUCAGGUGAUGUUUAAAAGAAGUAACGAAUUCUUUGUUUAAGAUUCAUUACGAAACCACCGGUCCAGAGAUAUGGAAAGACUCGGAAGGGAAAGUUGAUGUACUGGUUGCAGGCAUAGGGACUGGUGGUACAGUAACAGGUGCAGGGAGAUUCCUCAAAGAGAAAAACUCAGAGAUCAAGGUUUGUUCCCCAUUCGAGACCGAAAUUUAGACAAGGAGCCUAUGUCCUUGUUGUUAUAUUCAUAAGAGCAUAUUCUUCUUUUGUCAAAGUAUAGGUAUAUGGGGUAGAACCUGUUGAAAGUGCAGUCUUGAAUGGUGGAAAACCUGGUAAAUUUUCAAGUCACUUUCUUCCUUUUUUAUGUGGUUCGUGCAGUAUCUGGUACUUGACUAUUUCCUUCAUUGCAUUGCCUGUGUGAUGCAUGUCAAAGGCUCUCAUCUGAUCCAAGGAAUUGGUGCUGGUAUCAUCCCUGAUGUUUUGGAUGUUGGCCUCCUUGAUGAAGUUGUCCAGGUAAGUCUCAACAGCAUGUUCAAUAUUUCAAACAGCUCUUGGAAACUUUGCAAUUGAUUCGAUUUCUGAAAAAUUAAUGAACUUUCGUUUUUGUCACAAGGAUAGUACUUGUUUCCCUUCUAAUAAUCCGUUUUCCUUUGCCAUGGGAAGCACCAAUCAUCUGAUCCAUUGAUUAUCCUGUAUGAUGGCCAUGGUAGCUUCCUAGAAACAGUCCAAUGAGACUUUGCACAUCAAUCACCCGAUCCAUUGAUUCUCCUGUAUGAUGACCAUAGUAGUUCCUAGAAACAGUUCAAAGAAACGUCGCAAUCGCUUCGGUUUCUGAAAAAUUAAUGAUUUUUUCAUUUCUGUCAUGAUAGCAGUACCAUUGAUUCUCCUGUAUGUUGACCAUAGUACUUAUUGCUGUUCUAACUUAGGUAUCUAGUGAAGAAGCCAUUCAAACUGCUAAACAGAUAGCCUUGAAAGAAGGUUUACUGGUAUGUUUGUAAUCGUUAAUCAAUUCUUACGACCCUCUAGAUCACUUGUUCUUCUUUUGUCCUUAUUCUCUUGGUCAUAUGAAUAAUAUUGACAGGUUGGUAUAUCAUCUGGUGCUAAUACAGCAGCUGCAAUUAAGUUGGCAAAGAGGCCAGAAAAUGCUGGCAAACUCAUAGUUGUGAGUUAAUUCCCUUCUUCAAGUUUAUCUAUAUCUUAUAGGCUAUAAUAAUUCUUGAUAUUAUUCGGAUUCUUCAUUUUUUUCUAUACUAUUGGUGAUAUAUACUUGAACAUAGGCAUGAAACAUAAGCAGGAGAUAUGACCCAAAAUGCUCAUGUUUUUUUAUUUGUUUAAUUGGUUACGUACGACUAACACUUGAGCUUCUCUGUUUUUAUAUCAGGUAAUUUUUCCCAGUGCGGGUGAGCGUUACCUGUCGUCUGCAAUGUUUGAGUCCCUAAGGCAUGAAGCAGAAAACAUGCCCAUUGAUUGAUGCCAUUGUUAUCCUCAAUCACAAAUUCCUUGUACUUAGCAUUCCACUAUGAACUAUGUCUACCUCUGCCUUUUUCUUUGUACUUUGUAUUCUAUGUUAUUCGGGUUUAAGAUAAAUAUUAAAUAUGGGUAUGUGUAUGGAAAGUCAGACAUGGGAUAUUUGACAACAUUUCUAACACUUUUUCUUUUAGCAAUUGGAAUAUCUAGAUCAGAAAAUUCAUUGGUUGGACUAUGAGUUUUACCUGGACUUUUGGCAAGAUCUUGCGGGUCGGAUUCUUGGUGAUGAAUCUGGUGGAUUCCACUUUCUUGAUUUCAGUUUCUUCUUGAGUAAAUUGGCAACUUCUUUCUUUAUUCUCUGUUCUCAUGGUCAAACUCUACACCUUCAUACUCCUUUUUAUUAAUAACAUUAACAUCAUUCAAGUCCUUUUUAUUAACAACAUUAACAUCUUUAAUUUCUGUAUUGAUCAUAAAUUUGUCUUCCCCAUUAUUAGAAUCCUUAUGUUAUAUAUUCCUUAGUUUUUUCUUGAUCAAUUAUUAAAUCUUCCUUACUUUAAUUUCCUCCCUGAUGAUUAGAAUCAAAGUAAGAUUGUGUUUCAACAAAUGUGACAUCUAUGGUAACAGUAAUCUUCCUAUCAAUUGCAUCAUGACAUUUGUAACCUUUUUUAUUAGAAGCAUAUCCAACAAAGACACAUUUUUUUGCUCUAGGAUCUAGUUUACUUUGGUUGUGAAGAUGAACAAAAACACUACACACAAACACUCGGAAGUGUAAAUCUAUAAUCAAUUUAGAGUUUAGAAAGACUGAAAGGAGUUCUAUAGUUUAGAGUUUUACUAGGCAUUCUACUAAUAAGAUAUGUGGUCGUUAACAAGGCUUCUCCCCAAAGAUCAUGUGGUACCUGACUAGUGAACAUCAAGACUCUAGUUACUUCUAAAAGAUGGCGAUAUUUUCUUUCCACAAACUCAUUCUAUUGUGGUGUAUUUGUACAAGAGCUUUAGUGGACUAUUCGAUGUUUGGUUAAGAAAAUGCCUAAUUGGUCACUAAAAAAUUUCCCACCAUUGUCAAUUCUAAAUACUUCUAUUUUUACACCAUAUUAUGUUUUCACCAUAGCAUAAAAAGACUGAAACACAUUUUUAGCUUCAAACUUAUCUUUUAAUAAAAAAAAUCCAACAAAUGCAAGUAUGAUCAUUAAUAAAUGUGACAAACCAACAUUUUCCUUAAAAAAAUUGAGACUCUCGAAGGUCUCCAAACAUCACUAUGAAUUAACAAAAAAAGGUUUUGAAGCUUUAUAUUUUUAAAGUGAAAAGAAUGACCGAUGAUGUUUAACCAAUUCACAAAAUUCACAGUGAUAUGAAGAAUGACUUUUAUUCUUAAAUAAAUUAGGUUACAAAUGUCUUAAAUAGUAAAAAUUAGGGUGUCUAAGCCUAUAAUGUCAAAUCAUAACCUUAUCAAAACUAGAAAUAGAGUUUAAACAUAAAGUAGUUAUUGGUCAACUUAGAUGGUCGUCAUCAAAAAAGUAAAUUCCACCAGAUUUUUUAGCAUUACCAGUAAUCUUUCUCGAGACCAUGUCUUGAAAUUUACACAUAAAAGAGUCAAAUAUAACACGACAAUUCGAGGACUGAGAUAAUUUACUAAUCGAUAUUAGAUUACAAGCUAGAUUUGGCACAUGUAAAACCAAGAAAGGUGAGAUUUUAAUAGUACCUUUCCCGGCUAUUGCCGAGAACGACCCAUUUGCUACUUUGAUCUUUUUGUUUCCUGCAUAAUGUGUGUAAGUUGAGAAAAAAAAUGACUACUAGUCAUGUGAUCACUAGCUCCAGAAUCAACGAUCUAUAUUUUUAUUUUACAAGGCUUGACACUAAAGAAAACAAAAAAAAAUCAGUACCUAAUUGGGCAAAGGAGGAAGAAGGACUAUUGGAUAAGUUAGGAACAGAAGAAUUCAUCUGAAACUGUGGUGAUUGAAAAAGCUUGUGUAGAAGCUCUAAUUGUUCCUUAGUGAAUGGAGACCCUUCCAGAGAACUUUGCUACUCAUGAUUUUCAUUAGCCAUUUGGAAAGCUUUGCUAUCCCCAGAUUGUGAACCGCGACCAUUGCCACUCUUUUUUCUCCCAUUCAUUGGUUUUCCAUGAAGUUUCCAACACGUUUCUCAAGUGUGCCAAUAUUUUUUGCAGUGGUCGCACCAAGGGUUUUCCUUUUUUCACUGUCAUCAUUAUUUUAAACCGUCACAAGAGCAUAAUUAUCAUCGUUACCUUCAAAUCCUGGCCUUAACAUUAGUUUUCUCCUUGUUUCCUCUCUUCUAACAUCAGAAAAAAUCUCAUAGAGAGUUGAAAGUAGUUUUUUUCCUAGGAUUCGAGAUCUUACUUCAUCAAAUUCUUUAUUUAAACCAGCCAGAAAUAAAUAAGCUCGCUUAUUCUCUUCUUUUUUCAUAGCUUUUACAUUGUCUCUGGGACACUCCCAUUCAUCAUUAUAACAUUGAUCCAGCUCUUGCCAAAAAGACAUCAUCUCAUUAUAAUAAAAAGUAACUUGUCUUGCCUUCUAGAGUUCUAUUUUUAACUCAAAGAUCUGUGAAACCUUUUCUAAAUUUAAAUAGGUGUCUUUCAUAGCAUUCCAAACAUCUUUAACAGUCGAAAGAAAAAGAAAAUGUUUACCUAUGGAUCCUUCCAUGGAAUUAAUAAGCCACACAAUUGUCAUAGAAUUUUCUGACCUCCACGUGCUCAUCUUUAGAUCGCCCUCCUUUGGUUGCUUGACUUUUCCAUUUAAAUGACCUAGCUUGUCGUGCAAUUGUUAACUUCACGGAUUGCGGCUAUUUGAGAUAAUUCUUGUCAUUCAGCUUGUGAGAUGUCAGCUGAAAAGAGAAGUUUGACGCCUCUAUCCCUUGAGUCAUUGCACUUUCAGUAGUUGUUUCGAUGGUAGAACUUUCUACCUUCGCUUGGUUGUUGGAUCUCUUAUCUCCAGUGAAGGCUAUUUUAAUUAUGAUGUUAUUGGAGAUUUAACUUAACUCACAUGCCAUGAAAGUUUUCAAGAGAGCUAUUCAAUAAAACUGUUCUAAAUUUUAUUAAAUAAAGAAUUGAAUUUAAAUAGAAAAAAUAGUUAUAACCUAAUUGGAAAAACAAUUCAUUUAUUCUAGUAAACUACUAAAAGAUAAAAUAAAAUAUUUUGUGUUUCAUGUAUUUCAACAUGUAUGAUAUGUAUAAGCUCAAUUGUUUAUAGUUUCUUUUUUCUUUAAUUUCCAUAUUUGAAUAUUUGGAAGGUUGUCAAAGAAUUAUAUUUUUAUACCAUAUUUGAAUAUAUGUUGAUAUCGAAACAUGAAUACUUCUAGAAAUAUAAAAGAAAAUUUAAUAUAAUUUUUUCUAAUAUAAUAGAAAAAAUGUGUCAUAAAUUAAAAAAAAAACAAAAGUUAAACAAGGUAUAAGGUGAUUAGUAGAUGCAGGGUUGCUUGGAGGGUUGAAAGACAUGGGCGAAAUGGGAUUGGUAGGGUUAAACGAUGUAGAAUUUUGUGUUGUGGGGGCAUUGAGGAAACUAGCGAAACGAGAAACAAAUGGAUCAGUAAAGGAUGGAGCAAUAGGAAGCGACUAUGAACUCUUUUUUAGCAGGUUUUGAUAAUAACCAAAAGAUGGAAGUCCAAGGAUAAGGAGAAUAAUAACUCAGAGAAGAAGCCUAUAAGGUGUCCAUUGAUGAGGAUGUUAACACUGCAAAGGUGAAUAAGCUGAAGCAACUUCUCAUGACAUUUUCUGUUUGGCAGAAGGCAGACUUUUGCAUCCAUGGCAAGAAAAUAUAAAGGGAGAAUAUCAGAAGUUACGGUAUUUUGAUUCUUUAAUUUUUUCAAAGUAUUCAUGUUUGACAUAUUUGGAUAUGAGUAUGACUAUAUGAUGAUAUAAUCCUCUAAAUUUGUGAAAAAUCUUUGGAAAGAAAAAAACCCUUUGUAAGAUACCCAUAUUGGAUACUCACUUGGAGUCUGAAUUUGGGUAAGGUAGGAUAUGCUCGGAUUUAGGUGUGGUUUCCGAAGAUUGGUAUGUUCAAUUUCAUCUAAGUUAUCUUAUGAAUUUGAAAGGCAUUUGGAGGUUGAUAUCAAUAUGCUCAUGUGUCAAAAUAUUCAAGCAAAGUAAAAAAGAAAAUGUUUUCCACAUCAGUAGGCAAGCGCAUACACUGUUGACUAGAACCAUGGAAAUACAUUACGUUAUUUUAAGAAUGUAGGUAGAAAUACGAUUCUUUGUAACCUAGUGAACGAAAACAAUUAAAUAACAAAAUAUAAUAAAAUAAUAUAAUAUAUUCUUACGUUUUUCUAAGCUUAUCUUGAGACUUUAACCAUACUAAAACAAGAAUAUAAUUUAAAGUUGCUUAUUUCAAGGAAAGGUGUGAUGGGGUAGGUGUAAUUCAUUGAUUAGUGAGGUAUCAGUGAAGUGGCCACUUUACAUGUUCUUAUAUGUAAUCUUUUUUUAUUUUUGUCUUCUUGUUUAUUGUUGGAAUAUCCAAAGGUAUCACCACCAACUAUUGAUUUAUUCUUUGAUUUUUUUUACAUUCUUGGGUGUUUUCUAUUUCCUUUUUCUCAUCACAUGUUUGAUUGAUUCUUCUGUUUCCACAGCUUGGGGAACAAGUAUUUCUUGCCUAUUUCUUGGUUAUCUGAGCCGGUUUAUGCCCUUUAUAAACAGUUCAGAAGCUUGCGUUUUGCAAUAAGAAAACCUUGUUUUCCUUUGUUAAAUUGCGGAGAUUCUGAGAAUCCGCCAUGGAGGACAAAUAUGCAAUCAAGAAAGAUGUUACUGAAGUAAUGUUUCUUUUCUCAAUCAUUUAAUUGUUGUUGAUAUUGCCAUUAGUCUUCUGCAACUUGUUUUAAUCUCAUCGUGGCUUAUGCAGUUAAUAGGUAACACGCCUAUGGUAUAUCUGAACAAUAUCGUCGAUGGUUGCGGAGCUCGAAUUGCUGCCAAGCUUGAACUGAUGGAACCUUGCUCCAGUGUUAAAGACAGGCAUAAACUUCAUUUACAUUUGAUUUUUACCUUCUUCACAGCAUCUUGCGAACUGUUACCUGCAGAAUAAUGCCUUUGUUCAUUGUUUAUCGAUCCCCAGGAUUCCAUACAGUUUAUGAUUAAAGAUGCAGAAGAUAAGGGAUUGAUUACACCCGGGAAGGUAUGGUACCGUAUUCGAAGAUGCUUUGCUCAGUUUAGCUUCCCGGUUAAUGCAUAUGAAGUGAUUGUUUGAUACCUAACCAGGAUGAAAUAUAGACCCAAGAACAGUUAAAACUUCAGAUUGUUUUGGAAGACUAUCGUAAUAUCUUCUGCAGUUUUGCGUCAAUUGACUUUUGAUCAAAUGAGGGCAAUUUUCCACAUGCAAUGGUCCAGACACGGAACAUUUAAGCUAACAAAUUUCCCGUUUCUUCUGCAUAUAUUGAAAUAAUAUCGGCUAUAGAGUGUUCUCAUCGACACUACCAGUGUAAUACCGGCAUUGCAAUGGCUUUCAUUGGGGCAGCCAGGGGUUAUAAAGUUAUUGUCACAAUGCCAGCUUAUAUGAGCAUCGAGAGGAGAAUCGUUCUUCGAGCUUUUGGAGCUGAGGUACGGCUCACAGACCCAGCCAAGGGCUUUAAAGGGCCAUUAGACAAGGCUUUGGAGAUACUAAAGAACACACGUAAUGGUUACAUGCUUCGGCAAUUUGAAAACCCUUCCAAUCCAAAGGUAAUAUCUUUAUUGUUAUAACAUUUCCAGUGUUUCAUCAGGUGAUGUUUAAACGAAGUAAUGAAUUCUUUGUUUAAGAUCCAUUACGAAACCACUGGUCCAGAGAUAUGGAAAGACUCAAAAGGGAAAGUUGAUGUAUUGGUUGCUGUUGUGCGGAAGCGUGUAAAAGAGUAAAAUUAUUGUACUAAAAAAUCACACUAAGUUCAAUUCCCAGGAAAGAGAGGUGGAUCACAAGGAUCGCUUAAGUACCAGGUCUUUCCUAACCAGAAUAUCCCUCAAUCGUAAUUUAAUAGCACAAUAAAUCACUACAAUCACACACACAAUUCAUGCAGAAUAAUACAAUAAAGAACACAAGAAUUUAACGAGGUUCAGCAAAUUUUGCCUACGUCCUCGGGCACUACCAAAUAUAUUUCACUCCAAAAUACAAGUGAGAAUUUACAAAGAGAGAGAGAGAAAACAAUGCCUUAAGUAGAGAAUGGCAAGUUUGAGAUACAGAAUGAGAGAUGGUUAUGCCUAUUUAUAGUUGAGGUUCAGGGAUCAACUUGCAAAGUCAUUUUACAAUUAGGGACCAUAUAUUGCAAAUAUCUCAGAUUUUAUUAUGCCAAUAUCUCGAUACCCAUAUCUUUGACUUUCCAAUAUUUGAUACCCAUAUCUUUGACUUUCCAAUAUUUGAUACCCAUAUCUUUGACUUUCUAUUAUUUGAUACCCAUAUCUUUGAUUUUCCAUAAAUAUGGAUAAUUCCCAAUAAUCUCCACCUUGAAGAUUUGAUUCGAGUAAUCUUAUCUUCACACAAUUCUCUCUGCCUUUGUCAACAACACUUGAUAGUGCCUUCUUCAACUGUUAAACAUGCAGAAUAUUGAUCAAGUUCAAACAAUGUUCGAACUUGAUUGUUGUUACCACCUUGGUCAUCAUAUCUGCGGGAUUAUCUGCAGUCUUAAUCUUCUGAAGGUGAAUUUUCCCCUCAUCAAUAAUUUCCCGCACAAAGUGGAAACGUACAUCGAUAUGCUUUGUACGUGCAUGAUAGACUUGAUUCUUUGCUAAAUGAAUAGCACUUUGACUAUCACAAUACACAUUAAUAUGCUCCUGGACCAAUCCCAAGGUUUUAACCAUACCUUGUAACCAAAUAGCUUCCUUUACAGCCUCUGUUACAGCCAUGUAUUCAGCUUCUGUGGUUGACAACGCAACUGUAGACUGCAGUGUAGACUUCCAACUUAUUGGUCCUCCAGCAAGAGUAAACACAUAACCAGUGGUUGAUCUUCGUUUGUCCAAAUCACCGGCAUAAUCAGAAUCAACGUACCCAACAACACCUUUACCAAGUGUAGUAUCCUGCUUGAACAGUAAUCCAAUAUCCAUGGUCUUAUGAAUAUACCGUAGAAUCCAUUUCACAGCUUGCCAAUGUCCUUUUCCAGGAUUAUGCAUAUACCUGCUCACUAUACUAACUGCCUGUGAAAUGUCGGGUCUUGUACACACCAUUGCAUACAUCAAGCUACCUACUGCAUUAGAAUACGGAACUUGUAACAUGUAUUCUUGUUUCGUAUUUGUCGAAGGAGAUAGUUGUGCAGAAAGCUUGAAAUGAGAAGCCAACGGGGUACUUACAGCUUUAGUCUGCUCGUUCAUGCCAAACUUCUGUAGUAUCUUCUUUAAAUAUUGCUUCUGAGAUAAACUAACUCUGCCAUGAGCUCUAUCCCUACAUAUUUCCAUGCCAAGGAUCUUCUUAGCUUCACCUAGAUCUUUCAUCUCAAACUCAAGGUUGAGUUGAGUCUUCAAUCUCUCAAUUUCAACUUUACUCUUAGAUGCUAUCAACAUAUCAUCAACAUAUAAGAGCAAGUAUACGAAAAAUCCUUCUUGUAGCUUCUGAAAAUACACGCAAUGAUCAAAUUUACUUCUUGUAUACCUUUGCCCUUUCAUGAACUGAUCAAAUCGCUUGUACCACUGCCUUGGAGAUUGUUUCAAUCCAUAAAGCGACUUUGUCAGUUUGCAAACCCAAUUUUCUUUAUCAGCAACCUUGAAUCCAUCUGGCUGAGUCAUAUAGAUUUCCUCUUCCAAAUCACCGUGUAAAAAUGCGGUCUUCACAUCGAGCUGAACUAGUUCAAGAUCAUAUUGCGCAACCAAGGCUAGCAAAAUCCGAAUAGACGAAUGCUUCACAACUGGAGAAAAUACUUCAUUGUAGUCUAUUCCUUCUUUCUGAGCGUAACCCUUUGCUACCAAUCUAGCCUUGUAUCGAACUUCAUUUUUAUCAGGAAAUCCUUCCUUCUUUGCAUAUACCCAUUUGCAUCCAAUUGCCUUUUUUCCUUUAGGUAGUGUCACCAACUCCCAAGUCCUAUUUUUAUGAAGAGACUGCAUUUCUUCAUUCAUAGCUUGCUUCCACUUUACACUAUCAAAGUUACUUCUUGCUUCUGUGUAAGUAGAAGGAACAUCAUCAUCUGCAAUUGGAAGUGCAUAGGCCACCAUAUCAUCAAAGCGAGCAGGCAUACGAAUCUCUCUUCUUGGCCUUCUAUAUGCAAUUGAAUCAUGUUGUUGUAGAAGUUCUUGGGUCGAAACUUCUUCAUCAUUUGUUCCUUCAAUAUUAGCUGGAUCAUCAUUAACCUUUUCAAGCUCCACCUGCUGCAAAGUGCCACUGGUUGUGUUUUCCUUUUGUGAAUCAUUGUUCUUCAUCAUGGUUGAUUCAUCAAAAGUCACAUCUCUACUGAAAAUUAUUUUCCUUGUAUCAGGACACCAGAGAUGGUAUCCUUUUACUCCACCAGUUAUACCCAUGAAUAAUGCUUUCUUUGCUCUUGGGUCUAACUUAGAUUCUUUUACAUGAUAAUAUGCAGUGGAACCAAAAAUAUGUAAAGAAUCAUAAUCAAUAGCAGGUUUACCAGCCCACCUCUCCAUAGGAGUUUUUCCAUUUAUUGCAGCUGAUGGCAACCGAUUAAUUAGAUGGCACGCAUAUGUAACUGCCUCAGCCCAAAAUUCUUUGCCCAAUCCAGCAUUGGACAACAUACAUCGAACUUUCUCCAAUAUAGUCCGAUUCAUACGUUCUGCCACCCCAUUCUGUUGUGGUGUAUCUCGAACAGUGAAGUGUCGUACAAUACCUUCAUCGUGACAUACUUGUAGAAAUGGAUCAUUCUUGUACUCAGUACCAUUGUCUGAUCGAAGUCGUUUGACUUUUCGACCAGCCUGGGUCUCCACCAUCUUCUUCCAUUUCAGAAAUACAUCCAAAACUUCAUUUUUCCUUUUCAUUAGAUACACCUAUACUUUUCUUGAAUAAUCAUCAACAAAAGUAACAAAAUAGUGCAUACCUCCCAAAGAAGCCACUUUAGUAGGUCCCCACACAUCACUGUGAACGUAGUCCAGAAUUUCUUUUGUAUUGUGAAUUGCUGAACCAAAUUUUAUCCUCGUUUGCUUGCCCAGAACACAAUGUUCACAGAAUUCCAAUUUGCAAGAAUUUGCACCUUUCAACAAGCCUUGCUUCGCCAAACUCUGCAAAGCUUUUUCACCAGCAUGUCCCAAUCGCAUAUGCCAUAACCUGGUAGCCUCUGAAUCUGCAUCUUUCGUAAAAGCUGUUGAUGUUGAUCCAAUAACUGUACUUCCAUUUAAAUAGUACAGAUUAUUCCUUCUUGUGCCUUUCAUCACCGUCAAUACCCCAGCUACUACCUUUAGUAAUCCAUCUCUCAAAGUGAUUGUGAGCCCUUUAGAUUCUAGGACCCCUACUGAGAUAAGAUUUUUCUUCAAGCUAGGUAUGUAGCGAACAUCUGUCAAGACUUGAAUUGAGCCGUCGUGAUUCUUCAAUUGGAUUGUACCUACUCCCAUUGUCUUACAAGCGCUAUCAUUGCCCAUAAAAACAACUCAACCUUCUAGUUCUUUAAGACUAGAAAACCAGUCCUUAUUAGGACACAUAUGGUAAGUACAUCCCGAAUCCAAAAUCCACUCAUCUGUAUGACAUGCCAUUGCCAUGCCAACCAAGCUAAAGUCUGACUCCUCAUCAUGCUCCGCUACACAUGCAUCAGAAAUAGCUUUACCCUUUUGUAACUUAGGACAAUUCUUUUUCUAAUGCCCUUUCUCACGACAAAAAGCACAUUCAUCUUUGGCAGGUCUCCCUUUGGACUUACUCCUUCUACCAGAUUUGUUGCUGCGCGAACGACUUCUUACUGUUAAGACUUCUGUAGUUGUAUCUCUGUGAUCUUUUUUAUCUUUCUUUCGAGUCUCAGAUCUAUACAACGCACUACAGACUGCAUCAAAUGUGAUUGUAUCCUUCCCAUGAAGCAAUGUGGUGGUAAGAUGAUCAUAUUCAUCAGGAAGAGAAUUCAACAACAGUAAUGCCUUGUCUUCAUCUUCAAAUUUCUCAUCCAAAUUUAGCAAGUCUGCUAAAAUUUUAUUGAAUGAGUUCACAUGGUCAUUCAUCGACAUAUCGGGUGCAUACGUGAAUCGAUAAAGUUUUUUUUUCAUAUAAAGCCUAUUUUCAAGACUUUUUGUUCGAAACUUUUCUUCCAGUGUAUCCCACAACUUCUUCGCUGAUGUCUCCCUCAUGACAGAGUACUUCUGCUCUUUGGCCAAACAUAGGCGAAUUGUUCCACAUGCCUGUCUAUUGAUCUUGGCCCACUCUUUGUCAUCCAUCUUGUCAGGUUUUUCUUCAAGGGCUAUAUCCAGCUCUUGCUGACAUAAGACAUCCAGGAUCUCACAUUGCCACAUACCAAAAUUAUUGGUACCAUCAAAUUUCUCUACUUCAAAUUUCGCAUUGGUCACAGUAGUCUUUGACGAUGACUUUUCCAUUUUUUUCUCCUCAAUCCCAACUACAGUACGUGAACAGUGCCGUGAACGAUCGUAUUCCCCAAGUACGAAUCUAGCUCUGAUACCAAUUGUUGUGCGGAAGCGUGUAAAAGAGUAAAAUUAUUGUACUAAAAAAUCACACUAAGUUCAAUUCCCAGGAAAGAGAGGUGGAUCACAAGGAUCGCUUAAGUACCAGGUCUUUCCUAGCCAGAAUAUCCCUCAAUCGUAAUUUAAUAGCACAAUAAAUCACUACAAUCACACACACAAUUCAUGCAGAAUAAUACAAUAAAGAACACAAGAAUUUAACGAGGUUCAGCAAAUUUUGCCUACGUCCUCGGGCACUACCAAAUAUAUUUCACUCCAAAAUACAAGUGAGAAUUUACAAAGAGAGAGAGAGAAAACAAUGCCUUAAGUAGAGAAUGGCAAGUUUGAGAUACAGAAUGAGAGAUGGUUAUGCCUAUUUAUAGUUGAGGUUCAGGGAUCAACUUGCAAAGUCACUUUACAAUUAGGGACCAUAUAUUGCAAAUAUCUCAGAUUUUAUUAUGCCAAUAUCUCGAUACCCAUAUCUUUGACUUUCCAAUAUUUGAUACCCAUAUCUUUGACUUUCUAAUAUUUGAUACCCAUGUCUUUGACUUUCUAUUAUUUGAUACCCAUAUCUUUGAUUUUCCAUAAAUAUGGAUAAUUCCCAAUAGUUGCUGGAAUAGGGACUGGUGGGACGGUAACAGGUGCAGGGAGAUUCCUCAAAGAGAAAAACUCAAAGAUCAAUUGUUCCCCAUUUGAGACCCAAAUUCAGACAAUGAGCCAAUGUCCUUGUUGUUAUGCUAAUAAGAACGUAUUCUUCUUUUGUCAACAUAUAGGUAUAUGGCGUGGAACCCGUUGAAAGUGCAGUCUUAAAUGGUGGAAAUCCCGGUAAAGUUUCAGGUCACUUUCACCCUUUGUGCUGUGAUUCGUGCGAUAUCAAGUACUUAAUUAUUUCCUUCAUUACAUUACCUGUGCUUUGCAUGUCAAAGGCUCUCAUCUGAUCCAAGGAAUUGGUGCUGGUAUCAUCCCUGAUGUUUUGGAUGUUGGCCUCCUUGAUGAAGUUGUCCAGGUAAGUCUCAAUAGCAUCACAUUCGAAUUCAUUUGUCGAAGUUUCUGAAUGUGCUUUUCUCCCUCAGAAACAGUUCUAGGAAACAUUGCCAUUGGUUUUAUUUCUGAAAAAUCAACAAAUUUCCAUUUCUGUCACGAUAAUGGUAUUCUUUUUCCUUAUAUGAACUGAUUUCAUUCGCCAUAUCGAUCAUCAAUCAUCUGAUCCAUUGAUUAUCCUUUAUGAUGCCGUUGUAGUUUCCUACAAACAGUUCAAUGAAACUCUACAAUGGCUUUGAUUUUUGAAAAUUUAAAGAACUUCCAUUUCUGUCACUAUGAUAGUAUUCUUUUUCCUCAUAAGAACCCAUUUUAUUCACCAUGGCAAGCAUCAAUCACCUGAUCCAUUGUUUAUCCUAUAUGAUGCAUGGUAGUUUCCUAUUCCACAUAUUUAUACUUCUCUUGCUGUUGUAACUUCUUAGAUAUCCAGUGAAGAAGCCAUUGAAACUGCUAAACUGUUAGCCUUGAAAGAAGGCUUGCUGGUAUGCUCAUAAUCAUUAUUCAAUUGUUACAACCGUCUCGACCACUUGUUCUUCUUUUUCCUUAUCUGUUUCCUCAAAUGAAUCGAUCUUGACAGGUUGGUAUAUCAUCUGGUGCUGCAGCAGCAGCUGCAAUUAAGUUGGCAAAGAGGCCAGAAAACUCAGGCAAACUCAUAGUUGUGAGUUGCAUUCCCUUCUUCAAGUUAGAUACAUAUCCUAUAUAGAUAAUAAUGCCCAUCCCAAUCGAGCUAAGACUCAAUUAAUUUUCCAAACUCAAAUUUUAAAAUUUACUACAUUACCGAAAAAUCUUUCCAACUUUUCUUUUUCAUACAUUUGAAUAUUUAACUUAUUUUGUUCGUAUUCAUUAUUUUUCUUAAAAUGCUUGUAUAUUUUGACCCUAAAUAGUUAUGCAUCCCCGACACUUGAGCUUCCUUGUUUUUAUUUUACAGGUAAUUUUUCCCGGCGCUGGUGAGCGUUACCUGUCGUCUGCAUUGUUUGAAUCCUUAAGGCAUGAAGCGGAAAACAUGGCCAUAGAUUGAUGCCAUUAUUAUCCUAAGAAUAUGGAUUUUAAAUUAUUAUAAUUAUUAAAAGUUCCUUUUAACUUAUAUCUCAUUUUUUUUAGUUUAAGGUUUUUCGUAUAAUUUUUAUUUUCUUUUUUAAUAUUUAAUUCAAAAUUUAAAACAAAUAAAACAUGAAAGGAUGAAAUACAUAACUAAGUAUAACGUAGAAUCACAGUUUUAUAUAAUCUUUUAUUAUAAAAUACACCGAAUAAAAUGCUGAUAAAAGCAAUGUAAAAAAGAAAAUUUAUGUUCUUAGAUUAAAUUGCACCUAAAUUUUAAAAAUAUUUUACAGUUAAAUAAAAAUAAAAAUAAUUUUAUUUGGAUAAAUUGAAAUUUUCUUAUUUAGAUAAAGAGUGGUCGGAUUGUACAGCCAAUCCAAUCUGAUCCAAGCCAGAUUUUGAACAAAAUGUUUUUGACUUUUAUCGAUAUCUAUAUGGCCCAAAUAAAAAUAAAGAAAUAAAAUUUUAAUUUAAAAUUAUAAAAUAUACUUUUUAAAGAUACCAAAAAUAUUUCCGGACCAUAGUUUGGCCCAAACCAUUAACACGCGGCUAUUGGACAGGUUUGGUAGUUUAUCGGAAAUGUUUUGAUGUUUCCAGAACGACGCCGUUUGGACCGGCUAUCUUACAACAUCGAUAAGCCAGCCAGAAUGCCACUCUUCUUCUCCCCCACUCUCGUCUUUGGACUUUCAAGUUCAGUUUUUUCGCAGAAGAGUUUUUUUAUUUUGAAAUUUAUUAAUUUUAUUCAUUUAAUGAUCCUUCCUUCACCUAAAUCUCUGUUUCUUCAUUUCAUAUCUCUUCCAACAUCGAAGGGAAAAAAAUAAUUAAAAAAAAUUAAACUUCGAGACGCACUAGAAAUUUUCUAGGGUUUAAUUAAGCUCUCUCUCUCUCUCUCUCUCUCUCUCUUCUUUAUCUCUGAUUAUUGUCAAACCGACGUCGAUUUCAUCUUCGAAGACCGUCUCGGUAAGUUCAAAGAUUUAGUCUCCUCACUUCUUUUCUCGUUUUUUUAAUAAAAAAUUCUAUCAUUGAAUUCAGGCUUUCUCGGCGAUCAUUUCAAGUUUGCUUAUCUCUGCAUUUAUUUAGUUGACUUUUUUGUUAGAUUUUCCUUUUGUGGAAAUUUUGUUUAUUUGUAUUAAUUCAUUGAUUCUUUUUAAUAUUAAUUUAUCUAGUUCGAUCGUUUUGGUAAAAAAAAUUUGCUUGAGUUUUCAAUGUGUUCAUCGUAUUUUUAGAAACCGUGUUUGAUUAAGAUAAGAAUUCAAAUUUUAGUCGCAAUAGUUAUGGUUUUGAGUAGAAAUUUGGUUUUAAUGAGAGUUUAGUUGUUUGUUGGUUGAAUCAGUUUCUGUAUAAUUUUUUUGGAAAGUUUUAAUUUGUAAAAAAAAAAUAUUAAUAAUCUGAUAUAUGUAGAUAAUUUUGGUCUACUUAGUCUAUUUUAUUUCUUUCAUUGACAUUUUAUUGCAGAAUAUAAGUUAUUCUGACCUACUGUAUCUAGUUGAUAUCCAAAUAUUUCCUGGGCAAUGACUUAUAGGUGCUAAAGUUUUUAAUUUUCAUUUGAAUGAUUAUCUAGGGGUCACUGCAAUGCAUCGAGUUGGCAGUGCUGGGAACAAUUCCAAUUCUAGCCGCCCACGUAAAGAAAAGAGGCUGACAUAUGUAUUAAAUGACUCUGAUGACACAAAGGUAAAGUGGUUUGUGUGUGUGCGUCUUUUUGCUUAUAAUUAUUUUCCUUUAACAAGUCCUCUUCCUUGAUAUCGGCAAUCUCAAGGAAGUUGCAUAUUCAUAUUCAUAUUUUGUUAGUAUUCUAAUUAUUUAUGUUUUUCAUUGUAAUGCCACAUUUAUAUUAUUGGUGUUUAUGCUAUUUUAGGUUUUUACGUCUUUCCUUUUAUGCAUUUGUUGCUAAAAUAUAAUUUCAAGAAUCUUGUGUUUGCUUUUCAUCAAAUCGAGUAGGAAAUUUUGAUUUUUAUAUUUUUUAUGAUUAAGUUGGUGGAUUUGAAAUUUAUUUGGGGUUGGAACUUGUAAACUUCCUUCUCCAAGAUACAGCUUUGCCAGUCUCAUUAUUGGAUGCCUUUUAUCCUUAGGAUCGACCACAAUUCACAAGAACAUUUUUGUAUCUUAGUAGAAGAGGGAAGGUUAGGAUGUACCUGGUGUGAGAUAUCACAUUGUUUGAGUGGCAUUUUAGUGUGUUGUAGAUUCUUAUCCAAGAAAUUUAUCAUUUGAUGAUGCCAUGCGCCUGUGUAAAUUGCUAGAAACAUGAAAGUGUAUGCUAAUCAAUAAUGUAAAGGGACUGGAUAGGCUACCAUGAGACAACACAAAAAAUCUUAUUUAUAUAUGUUAUACUAAAUUAGAAUGGAAAUGAUUGUUUGUAAUUCUCAGUAACUAAUUCUUUAUAGUAUCCGUGCAUUCAUCAUUAUUCAUUAAUGUAGGACCAUUUUCACUAUAAACUUGAAUAAUUUUGCUUAUGCUUUACUUUAUAUUGUUAAUUAUGUCAUUAUCUUGAAUUAUAAACUAGUCAAUCAUUUUAUCACUUUAUUUUGGGUAUGGGAACUAGGCUCUGAUGUUUCUCUACUUAUGUUUUUUUCUUUUUCUUUUUUUCUUUUUUUGCAGCAUUCUGCUGGUAUAAAUUGUUUGGCUGUGCUAAAGUCAUCUGUCUCUGAUGGGUGCAACUAUCUCUUCACUGGAAGCCGUGAUGGCACGCUUAAGAGAUGGGCACUGGCUGAAGAUGCUGCCACUUGCUCUGCUACAUUUGAGUCACAUGUUGAUUGGGUACCUUCUUUUUGCUUCUUGUUUUUACUAUGAGCAGGACCAUCAUACUUUAGACGGCAUCUUUUUAUUGCUAAUUUUUUGUUCGGAGCAUGUGAUAAUUUAAUUAAUUAAAUUUUUGGUUUCUUGAUGUAUUAUCAGUAUGAAUGAUUGCUUAUUAACCAACCUGCUCACCAGAAGUAACAUCUAGAUCAAGUAUUCACUGUGCACUUCAAUUACAUCAGUAGUCAGUUUGAAUGUUGAUGGCUCCUUUUUCUUUUUUCUGUUUGUGAAUGCACCAUCCAGUUAUCUUAUAAAAUUUAUCUCUGUAACUAUGUAAAUUAUGAUGGAGAAUUUCCUUGUGCAGGUAAAUGAUACUGUAAUUGCUGGUGAAAAUACACUUGUUUCAUGCUCGUCAGACACCACAUUGAAGGUUUGUCAUUAAUUCGUGUAUUAGAUUUAGCUUUUCUCUUUUUAACUUAUUUUGUUAAAUAUUUUUUUGGCCACUACUUUUGUUAAAUAUUGACAUGUGCUCUUUCUUUGUGAUACACCAGAUAUGGAAUUGCUUGUCUGAUGGGACUUGUACCAGGACUCUUCGUCAACACUCUGACUAUGUUACAUGUCUAGCUGCUGCUGAAAGAAAUGUAAUUCUUAUAUCAAAUUUUCUUUGGAUUUUAUUAGGUGCACGAGUGAAAUGUUCUUGUCGGUGCAAUAUUGCUAUUUAGGUUUCAUGUUUGAUUUGGCUGCUUAAGUUGUGCAUCAAGGCAUGUUUUUUAAUAUUAUAGAAGUCAUUUUCUGAUUCUUUUUUAGUGCCAUACAUUUUAGGCAAAUGUGGUUGCCUCUGGGGGUCUUGGUGGGGAGGUUUUUGUAUGGGAUAUUGAAGCUGCGGUUACUCCACUCUCAAAGUCCAGUGAUGUAAUGGAAGAUGAUUGUUCCAAUGGUAUCAAUGGUUCUGCAAAUUCAUUACCCGUAUCCAGUCUGCGACCAAUUAGCUCGUAUAACAGUAUUACUGCUCACACAACUCAAUGUCCUGGAUAUGUCCCCAUCGCUGCCAAAGGCCAUAAAGAGUCAGUCUAUGCAUUGGCAAUGAAUGAUAAUGGAUCCCUUCUUGUCUCUGGUGGAACUGAGAAGGUAAGUUUUGCUUCUUCUGAAUUCAAUUUUUAUGUAAUUAACAUGUUUCUCUCCACUUAUGACAUUUUGCCAGUUGCCAGGGAUGGUCUGUUGAUAAUUUGUUUUACCUAACAAUUUCAGUAGCAAUUUAAUUUCUUGCCACAAUUUCAUAUAGGUUGUGCGUGUUUGGGACCCAAGAACAGGUUCAAAGACUAUGAAGUUAAGAGGGCAUACAGAUAACGUUAGGGCUCUCCUUCUGGAUUCUACUGGCAGGUUGCUACACUGAAUUUAGAUCUGUAGAGUUAAAAAUAGUAUUAGUUUGAUUUAGUUGGAAGCCUUACAAUAUGGUGCUUAAUCUGAUUCUUUUCUUUUGUAACUGCUGAACUCGUGUAGCAGUUGAGGAAACUGGUUGAUAGGAAAACUUUGGAAAUUCUGGAAAAGAAAAUUUCUGUUUCUUAUCGCGGUCCUAUGAUGCAAAAUAUUUUGAGAACAAUGAGCGUGGUUGUAGGGUGGAGACUAAAUCAUGUUAUGGCUUCAUGUGUGCAUGUUCACAUUUUUUUUUAACUGCUACAUUGUUUUCAAGUAAAUUUGGGUGAAUACUUUUUCUUUGAAAAUAUCAAGGAGUUUUUCGUUAUCUGAUGGGUUCUUCCCUUGAUUGACUUCUAGUGAGUUCUUUUAUUUGCUUGUGUGUUUUCCUGCAGUGUAUUUAUUUUAUUAGUGAAAAGUUUGACAGACAUCUCAUAUUCUCUCAGGUAUUGUUUAUCAGGGUCCUCUGAUUCUAUGAUCAGGUAUAUAAUCUGUGCAAGUUUUCACUGUUGAUAACAUGUCAUUUUCAGCCAUAAAGAAUCUAAGUCCUUUCCUUUUAAAUAGUCAUAAUUUUAUCUUGUAGGCUAUGGGACCUUGGUCAGCAGCGUUGUGUGCAUUCAUAUGCUGUGCAUACAGAUUCUGUUUGGGCACUUGCGAGCACCCCAACAUUUACUCGUGUUUAUAGUGGUGGUAGAGAUCUUUCUGUAAGUACAUAUUCAUGCCAAACAGUUUUAGCAGAAUCUUUGUCAAUUUUGCCAAUGUUUUGAUGUAGAAGUUGAGAAGAAACCUAUGCUGAUAUAGCACAAUUGGCUUAUAGUAUUUUAGGAUUGAUUGAGAUUAAAGGAUCAGAAAUUAUGAUAAUAAUUAGGGGUUCUAAUUAUUGGUAUCGAUUGAGAUUGGAUGGAACUACUAAAGGAUUAGAAAGCAAUUCUGGCUUGUGCUGGUAAAUGGUAAUUUUAGCAGUACUCUUAACAAGUAAAUUAUGGGUCAAGGAUUUAAUUUCAUGAUGAAUUUGUGUGAGUGGGAUCGGGAUUUAUUGGAAGUAUUCCUGGUUGGCUUGAGAUUGAAAUCAAUGCAAGUAAUUAGAGAUAAGGAAGAAAAGUGAUCUAGGUUCACACCUAAGCACUAGGGCAAGGGUUGGUACAACAGUUGCUGCAGUUCUCAUCAGUUGUUGUCUGGUAAUAUAAAAUAGAUUGUGCUCAUUUGUAGAGUUCUGUAAUAUUUUCCUAGAAAGACUGUGAUCAGUAGGAAACUCCAAAAUUGACUUAAACGACUCCUAAGCAAUGGAUAAAAACCUAAUAAAAUAAUACAAAUUCAAGUAAAUAUGGUUCCUAGCAUCAAAUUCUUUAACUUCCAGUGGAUUUUGAAACUAUCAGCAUAUCUGUAACUAUCUAGGAAACCCAGAACAGAAUAUAACUUUGCAAGUUAAACUCAAAGAAAUGUAAUGUUAAUAUCUAUUCAGUUUAAGUUUCUGAAUCAUUCUGACAUCAAAUGAAGACAAUACUUCUAGGUUUCUUCCGCAUAUGAUCUUGACAGUUCUUGACAACCUCGUAUGAAACUUCUAAUAAUUAGCUUUAACUCUCAUUUUGCACUUCUAAUAUUUAGCUUUAACUCUCAACUGGCUCUUACUUUUUAUACAUACACCAGUUGUAUUUGACAGACUUGACAACAAGAGAGAGUCUUUUGCUUUGCACAAAGGAACACCCAGUUUUGCAGUUGGCGUUGCAUGAUGAUAGUAUCUGGGUUGCAACGACAGAUUCUUCAGUUCAUAGAUGGCCUGCUGAAGGAAGAAAUCCUCAGAAGGUCUUUCAAAGAGGUGGUUCAUUCUUGGCUGGAAACUUGUCUUUUUCAAGGGCAAGAGUUUCCUUAGAAGGGUCUACCCCUGUAAGUAUAGUUUGUGUGCUACUGUAUUAUAUUUGCUAUUGCUUACAGCGAUCAUCUUGUUUGUCAUGAAAAUUUUUGUCUCAUAAAUAUCUCUUUUCUCCUUUUUUUUAAUUUUUAUCAAGUAUUAUUAAAUAUACAAACUCUGCAUUGUAGUAACAUUUAUUUUCUUUAUAUGCUUGAAUUAUAGGGAAUUUUGCGUUGCUCGUUUAGUUAUUAAUUGGUUCUGUUUCAUUUGUUCUUUGCUCACUCAACCCCAAGGAGAAAAGAACAAAUAUUAGAAUUUGUUUUUAUUACUCAUGAUGUGAUUUGUUAUGGAUAACUCUUUGAGGUUUGACUGUAUCUGGAAUUUGUUUUAGCAUCUUCUUCCAUCACUUGCCCUUCAUUAAUGUGCUUACAUUGUCGGUUAUUCAGGCUGCUGUUUAUAAAGAACCAAUCUUUUCCAUUCCUGGAACUCCAGCAAUAGUUCAGCAUGAAAUUUUAAAUAACAGAAGGCAUGUAUUGACUAAGGUAAAUGUGGUAGUACAUAUAUUUGUUGUUUCAAAGAUUUUGUUUUGGGAUUUUUUUGCGUAUAUGAUAUUUAUGCUUCUUGAACAGGAUAGUGCUGGUUUGGUAAAGCUCUGGGAGAUAACCAGGGGUGUUGUGGUCGAGGACUAUGGACAGGUGAACGAGAAACUAGAAUUUUUUUUCCCUCUUUCUGUCUUUGUUUCUUGAGUACAAGUGGAUUGCACUUUGCUUUUCCCUUACAAGUUUUGUACACAUAGACACUUGUAUAUAUUUAUCUAUUCUUUCAAUUUCAAUGGCCAGGUUUCAUUUGACGAGAAAAAGCAGCAGUUGUUUGAGAUGGUACGCUACCUACUUAUUUGAAUUUAUAUCAGUUAAAACACAAUGCAUCAUUUUGUAAGGAAAUUGCUUUUUUUUAUUUUUAAAACCUCUAGGUAAGCAUUCCAGCAUGGUUCACUGUGGAUACCCGUCUUGGAAGCUUGUCUGUUCAUUUGGACACACCCCAAUGCUUUUCUGCGGAGAUGUAUUCUGUUGAUCUAAACAUAACUGGGAAGCCUGAGGAUGAUAAGGUUUUAGACUUUUUUUAUUGAUUUUGACAAUCUUAAGACAUGCAUAUCUACAGGAAGUGGUUGAGGAACUCUGUGAUUAUAAUUUGCAUCUGGUGUUAACUUGUCUUUGGCAGGUUAAUCUAGCUCGUGAAACUCUUAAAGGUCUGUUGGCUCAUUGGAUGACCAAAAGAAGGCAAAGACUUGGCUCCCAAGCUUCCGCUAAUGGAGAUGUUUUAUCAGGAAAGGAUAAUACUGCAAGAAGUCUUGCUCAUUCAAGAAUUGAGGUAGAUGGAAAUGCUGAAAAUGACUCCAUGGUCCAUCCUCCUUUUGAGUUUUCUACGGUUUCCCCUCCGUCAAUUAUCUCUGAGGGUUCCCAAGGAGGUCCUUGGAGAAAGAAAAUUACUGAAUUGGAUGGAACUGAGGAUGAGAAAGACUUCCCUUGGUGGGUUUUGGAUUGUGUUUUAAACAACCGGCUACCACCACGAGAAAACACCAAGUAACUUCCACGGCUCAUUAAACUUUCCCUUAAUAUAAUCUUUAAGUAACUAGUUUUCAACGAACUGCAUAUAUUGAACUGUUUAUCGGUUGACCUUGUUGUUGAUAUACUUGUUACACAUGGAUGAACUUAAGGAGUGUCAUUAAAUUCAUGGUUAACCAUGCUUUUUGUUUUCUUGUGCCUUUAGUCCUUACUCUCUGAUAUUUUUCUUGUGAAACGUCUGCACUUCUCUUCUUUUAGGGGGGGGGGGAACAGUACCUUUUGCAUUUUUGCACACUACUGCUACAUUCAGAACCAUGUAUAAUCAUGCAUUUUACGUGAGUCUUUUAUCUCUCUCUCUCUCUUGAUGAAGUUUUACUUUUCAUUUAUUUCAGGUGCAGCUUCUACCUUCAUCCAUGCGAAGGUACAGCUGUUCAGAUCCUCACACAAGGGAAGUUAAGUGCACCUCGUAUAUUGAGAAUAAAUAAGGUAUGCCUGUUUGGUUUUUCCGUAGGACUUUCAAAAGCUUUUUUUUUUUUUUGGCAUGGCAUGCGAUUGUACAAAGUUGCAAAUGUUGAUUCUAUGCUAAUUUAGAUCACUUGGGUUAAUACAUUAGAAUCUGUUUCAUGCUUUGGAGCAUGAACAGCAAAAGGGCCAAAAGAGUAAUGUUCAGUUAAUGAAAAUGCUAUUUUAGCAUACAUAUAUAUUGAUAGGACUUUUAACUUUGUUAUAGCCAACACAAUAUAUGAAUGAAUUAGAAUAAUCUUCUGUACUAGCUGUUGUUGAGUGCUUGUUUGCUCGUAUGUAAGAGCAAGAUGCCUUUGUGGCCUUUUAGGUUUUAUUUUCUUCUCUUUUUAAAUUUUGGAUAUGGAAUGCUGAUAGGUGUCAUAUUGGAAAAACAUAUUGUAUAUCAAUGUAUAUUAAUGCAGAACAGUUUGUCCUACACUGUAUUUGUACAUCGGUAUUUUAUUUAAUUUUCUGGUAUAGUAAUGUACUUUCACCCCGUUAUGGUUUAUAUAGGUUGUUAAUUAUGUCGUAGAAAAGAUGGUGCUUGACAAACCAAUUGAUACUGGAAGUACUGAUGGGUCACUUGCUCCUGGACAUGGAGGACAAUUGCAGCAUUCAGCUGUCGCUGAUGGUUCUUUUAAAUCUGGAUUGAAGCCUUGGCCGAAGCCUAGGCCUUCUGUUGAGAUUUUAUGCAAUAAUCAGGCAAGUAAGCCACAUAUUAGAUGUCAUGAUGCCUUUGGCUAGGAGCCUUGACCCAUUUCUCAAAGCUGUGGUUUUUUUUCCAUCAUUUUCUGGUACCAUUAAUAAAUCGUACUAUGCAGUGUUUGAAAUCAACAAACUAAAAUUAUUCAUACGAACUUUUUAGUUCAAGUUCGAUCAUGCUAUACUGAUCACGUGUUUGAUUUGCUACUAUAUGUUCCAGGUCUUAUCUACAGACAUGAGCUUAGCCACUGUGCGGGCCUACAUAUGGAAGAAACCUGAGGAUUUGGUACUUAAUUACAGAGUGGUUCAAGGCAGGUGAUUUUAUCAACUGCUGGGAGCAGGUGAGUGGGUUACCUGUGUUGCUUUUAACUAGGGUUGAGAAAAUUUUGGUCAGAACUCCUUACCCAAUGUCCCGACCAAAACUGUUGUUAGUAUCAGUUUUAGUAUUAAACCGACCAACUUGAUCAAACUAUUAUAAAUUAUUAUAUUUAUAUAUUUUAAAAUAUUUCAUUAUAUAAUAAAUAUUUUUAAUAUAUUAAUAUUCUUACCCUGACCCAAUUAAACCCACCCAAUCCAUUACCCAAUAAACUCGUUACCAAAUUUCCAAAAUAGCUGAGCGAACUAAGUUGAUCUGGUUAUUGCCGGUUAUCAAUAUAAAGUUUGGUUGGUUUCAGUUCAAAAGUCUAUGGAGUUCGGUUUAUUAACAUGGAACUAGUGUUGGCUUUGUUUGAUAGGUGAAAAAGACAUCAUAUAGUUUCUCUUUUAGUCUGCAGAUUGGAUAUCUGUAUGAAGCAAUCAUCUUAAAUAGAACUGUAUCCUCUCUUAUCUAUCAGGCUGCAGUGUCUGUUUCGGGAAAUCGAGAUGGAAAUCUCAUACUGUUGUAAAGUGUUGGGAAUUGUAUUUGUUCGUCAGAGGUUUGCCUAUAUCAGAAGCAAAUGUUGGAUCCCAUGUAUAUUUGGAAAGACAAUUGGUUUUCAAUGUGGGGGCGUUCUCCGGGGUUCAACAAGAUGAUCGUUGUUAAAGUCGAGCAGAUGGUAUCAUAAAGUUUUGGUCUUUGUGUAGUGCAUGCUUUCGCCAUACAUCCGAGAAAAAGCUGUAGGGUGGAAAUGCAAGCGGUAGAAGGGUUUGCAUACUCCGGGGGACAAUUAGCUGAAAGUAAAUUGGGGGGAAAAAAAGAUUAGGCCAUAUGAUGUCGAAGAAAGGUCAUGUAGAUUUGUAUUUUGAGGGUGAUACAAUAUCUAGUCAUAGGAACUGUUGUUACGAAAUUGGUCUUUUUUUUUAUUAUUUGUCCUGGAAAUAAAAAAAGGACUGUUAAUUUGUGUUUUUUUUUCUUGUGCAUUUGAAAUUUAAUUUUUUAUUUUUAAUUUUAGGAAUUUAGUUUUUAUUGUUUAGAUUUAAAAAAUUAUUCUCUUGUAGUUAUGUAAUAAUAAAAAUAGCAUUGAAGAUACCGAUUAGGAUUUAAAAAAAAAAUACUCGUUUAAAUUCUUGAUGAUAAAGGAUUUUGUUGUUCUUGGGGUAUUCUUAAGAAAAUUGAGGUUAUAAAAUAAAGGAAUUAAAUUAGAUAAGAAAUUAAAGCAUAUAGAUUAAAUCUCAAGUUUUAUAGCAAAGAAUAAGAAGAUCAUUGUUUAUAAUGUUAAAAAAAAAAAAGAAGUAAUGCAAACUCGAAAGAAUUGGGAGGUUUCGUGUUAGUCUCUAAAACUCUAAAAGAUAUUUAAAUUAUAUAUAAUCACGUGAUAUUUUAAUAAAAAAUUAAUAAUAUUAACUAUUUGAAUUUAUUAAUAACAUUAUAAAAAUAUAUGGAUUAAAUUACAUUAGAAAUUAAAGAGAUUAAAUCACAAAUUUAGAUAUAAUAGAAAGACCAAAAUUGAAAUUUAUCAUCUAAUAUCUAGUGUAAAAGAGAGAGAACAAUAGCAAUAUAGUAUAGGCACCUGUUAAUUUGGACCUUCCUUUUAUAUAUAGUUUAUAGAUUCAUGAAGGGAUGAAUCGGUUCAAUUCAAAAUCAAUAAUUUUCGAUUAAAUCAAUAAAAUUAAUAAAAUUUGAGUUAAAUUAAAGAAAAAGGUUAUUUUUAUAAAAUAAAAUGAAAGUAACAAGAUUUGACGGUAAUAAUAGACAAGCUAUGUACUUUUGUUUAACUAAUUUGGAGGUCCCUUCCAUCCCAUCUUAAUGAAAUCUUCCCCAUUUGAUGUAGUAAACAUCAAUGUAGGGAGAUCAAUAUCAAGUUCCUCCAUCUCUAUAGAAACUUCUUUCAUUUCCAAAAAGGCUUCAAGAGAUGCCUUUCCAUACUAGUACUCUACCCAAAUCUCUAUAAACACUAGUAGUAGCUUUUAACAUCAUCACAGUGUAAACAAGAUGUAAUCUCCAUCACCAAAUAUUGCUUCAACACACAACUAUAUUUAAUACCUAAUUUAUAUUCUUAACUAAACUAACUCCAUAAAUUCGACACCCGAAAUAAAUAUUGGUUUUGUAUUAUUUAUUUAUUUAUUUAUUUAUUUAUUUUAAUGGUUGAGUGAAGAAGGAAUCUAAAGAUGUGAAAGGGAAUGUUAUAGCAGUAGCAUAUAAAAGCAAGCUUUGUGAUUAUCUUGGGGAGCAACAAAUGAAGAAUACCCAAACAUAGGCAAAUUAUAUUUUAUUCCUGUUAGUUAUGGGACACAGACAGCCACAAACAAACGCAAUGUCUUAGCACCAUUGCCCACCAUAAACUUUAUUAAUGGUAAAUUUUCUCUUAGCUUAAAGUUUAGAAAUUUAGUUCAUUUAUUUUUUUUAAGAUUUUAAAAUUGAGGUUUAAUUUUUUUUGUUAAUUUUAUCGAAGCAGAUGGUCAUAUAAUUCAAAAAAUAAUAUUGUAAUGACCUUGAUUUUAAUAAUAUAAUUUUAACACUAUUAACAAUUAAAUUUAAAUUUUGAAAUAUGAAAAAUAGAAUAACUAAAAUUUUAAAAAUAAACUUAUAAAAUGUAAAUAAACUAAUGGUAUAUUUUAAAUUUUUAUAAUUUUAAAGAUUCGUUAAGUUGAAAGCUAAGUCUACAGACCAAAUCAAGCAUUCAAAUCUUUGUAGAGCCAAGGUAUUGUAUUUUAUCUUUUGAGAAAAAAAGGUUACAAUUAUAAUCUAGUAAACAAUCAUCACUAAAGUUAGAUUUGAAAUCUGGUCAAUACCUACACUCAUCAAACCACGAUGAUUGACCACCUAUAAGACCUUUAAAAUAUGUGUUUAAGAUAUGAUUUAAAAAAAAUUAUCCAUUUUUUAAAAUAUGCUCAUAGUAAAUUUAGAUAAUACAAUUAGAUUUUAUAUAUAUAUAUUAUAUAUAUUUGAGGUUCGUGACUUCCUCUUCUAACAAUAUUACCUUCAAGGUUCAAACCGACAUUCUUCCCUUAAAAAUACGAUGUGCCUUACCAUUAUACCCAUAAUAUAAUUAGAUUUUGAUUAAACUAAAACUAUUUAUCUUUUGUUUGGUAAGAGAUUUAUCAAGCUAAAGUGAUUCUUUUCUUCUUAUUCCCGUAAGAUAAGAACACCAUAUUCUGCAUUGUGAAGGUCAAUUUCAUUUCAGAAUAGCAUAAAACUUUCAUAUUUUCAGACACAUAAUGGAAGUCAUUGUCCCAAAAAUUGAAAAGAAUGUGAUUCUUUACAUAGUUUUUUCUCAAAGAAAAAUACUUGGGAUUCUUAUUGUUUUUAGCAUAAGAUCCUAACAUUGAUGAUGUUAUUGAAUCUUUCGUCAUUAAAUUUAAGAUUAAAAAUAACACCAAAUUUUCCUAUAUAAAGAGAGCUUCAAACAUCAGUUGGUAAUUAAGGAACAAGUGCAAAGAGUUUCUUGAGAACAAUGGCUGGCUAUGGUUAUGCAUACAGAGGUGGCUACACGACCUACAAUGGCGGCGUUGCUCCACGAGGUGGCACCGAGGGGUGGAACAAAACAAGCUAUAGCUCAGAUCAUACGUGUCAGCCUGUGUUCAUUGAUGCAGAAGGGAGGAGGAAGCCGAUCACGUCUUACACUGGUCCGCACGGUAGCACCGAGUAUUACGUUACAAAAACCGAGAUCGUCGAGGUUCCAUAUAUGGCCGAAUUCAAGCAAAGGGCUCCUGUAAGAGUUGAGGUGGUGAGGGACCAUGGUGAGGGUAAGCUGAUGACUAGGCCCUUAAGUCCCGGGGAAUGGCGGGAGAGUUCAAGUCCUGUUCGGUAUCAUACUGAAGAGAAAUGGAAUAAGCCUUCUAGACCCGUUCAGUAUGACGUCGAAGAGAAAUGGAAUAAGCCAUCGAGUCCUGUUCGGUAUCGUGUCGAAGAGAAAUGGAAUAAGCCAUCUAGUCCUGUUGGUUAUGGUGUCGAAGAGAAAUGGAGUAGGCCUUCGAGUCCUGUUCGGUACCAUGUCGAAGAGAAAUGGACGAACCGGCCUUCAAGUCCGGUUAAGGAACGUCCACAACAAGUUCCGGAUUUCAUUACCAAAGUUCAAA